rnacentral:lncRNA from 1 species
CGUAACCCGUGCUUGAUGCAAUAACCGCAACGAGAGUAAGCGCUGUUGGAUAGAAGACCACGUAGCCUUGCUAUGCUAAAGGAAUGGAUUUAACUCUUUAGGGAGUGCAGAAUCUACUAGGGUUAACCUCUCUUUAGCCUAUCUGUCCUCAUGCUAGCCAAUCUCUGGCAAUUGGUCUAUGUCUGAGUAUCUGGUCUGAAUAUCUGGUCCCCAAGGGGGUCACGCAAGGGAUGAGAUAACUCGAUCUGUUGGGGGAGGAGUUUACUUUUUAUUAGGAUAGGACGAUUUUUAUCCCCCUUCUACGCAUACAUAAAUGUUUACAUUACAGCCGUCGAGUGCUUCCUGGUGUGAAGUCCCGUGGGUGGU